GGAGAGAUGGCUGAGUGGUCGAAAGCGCUCGACUCGAAAUCGAGUGACCCUUUACUGGGUCCCAGGGUUCGAAUCCCUGUCUCUCCGCCA
rnacentral:tRNA from 1 species